rnacentral:rRNA from 1 species
UACGAAGGGGGCUAGCGUUGUUCGGAAUUACUGGGCGUAAAGCGUGCGCAGGCGGUCUUCCAAGUCAGUGGUGAAAGCCCGGAGCUCAACUCCGGAAUUGCCAUUGAAACUGUGAGGCUUGAGGACGAGAGAGGUGAGUGGAAUUCCCAGUGUAGAGGUGAAAUUCGUAGAUAUUGGGAAGAACACCGGUGGCGAAGGCGGCUCACUGGCUCGUUUCUGACGCUCAGGCACGACGGCGUGGGGAUCAAACAGG